UACGUAGGGAGCAAGCGUUGUCCGGAAUCAUUGGGCGUAAAGCGCGCGUAGGUGGCCUCGUAAGUCCGCUGUGAAAGUCAAAGGCUCAACCUUUGAAAGCCGGUGGAUACUGUGGGGCUAGAGUACGGAAGAGGCGAGCGGAAUUCCUGGUGUAGCGGUGGAAUGCGCAGAUAUCAGGAGGAACACCAAUAGCGAAGGCAGCUCGCUGGGACGUAACUGACACUGAGGCGCGAAAGCGUGGGGAGCGAACAGG
rnacentral:rRNA from 1 species